rnacentral:rRNA from 1 species
CAGUCGCCGCGGUAAUACGGAGGGGGCUAGCGUUGUUCGGAAUUACUGGGCGUAAAGCGCACGUAGGCGGCUUGGUAAGUUAGAGGUGAAAGCCCGGAGCUCAACUCCGGAAUUGCCUUUAAGACUGCCGAGCUAGCAGGUGAGAGAGGUAAGUGGAAUUCCGAGUGUAGAGGUGGAAUUCGUAGAUAUUCGGAAGAACACCAGUGGCGAAGGCGGCUUACUGGCUCAUACUGGACGCUGAGGUGCGAAAGCGUGGGGAGCAAACAGGAUUAGAUACCCCCGUAGUCCCUGUCUCUUAUAC